rnacentral:rRNA from 1 species
GACGUAGGGGGCGAGCGUUGUCCGGAAUUACUGGGCGUAAAGAGCACGUAGGCGGGAACCUAAGUCAGGUGUGAAAGACCGUGGCUCAACCACGGGGUGGCAUUUGAAACUGGGUUUCUUGAGGGCAGGAGAGGAAAGCAGAAUUCCUGGUGUAGCGGUGAAAUGCGUAGAAAUCAGGAGGAAUACCAGUGGCGAAGGCGGCUUUCUGGACUGACCCUGACGCUGAGGUGCGAAAGCGUGGGUAGCAAACAGGAUUAGAUACUCUGGUAGUCCCUGA